AUUGAACGCUGGCGGCAUGCUUUACACAUGCAAGUCGAACGGCAGCGCGGGCUUCGGCCUGGCGGCGAGUGGCGAACGGGUGAGUAAUGCGUCGGAACGUGCCCAGUAGUGGGGGAUAGCCCGGCGAAAGCCGGAUUAAUACCGCAUACGACCUGAGGGUGAAAGCGGGGGACCGAAAGGCCUCGCGCUAUUGGAGCGGCCGAUGUCGGAUUAGCUAGUUGGUGGGGUAAAGGCUUACCAAGGCGACGAUCCGUAGCUGGUCUGAGAGGACGACCAGCCACACUGGGACUGAGACACGGCCCAGACUCCUACGGGAGGCAGCAGUGGGGAAUUUUGGACAAGGGGGGCAACCCUGAUCCAGCCAUGCCGCGUGCGGGAAGAAGGCCUUCGGGUUGUAAACCGCUUUUGUUCGGGAAGAAAUCCUCUGGGCUAAUACCCCGGGGGAUGACGGUACCGGAAGAAUAAGCACCGGCUAACUACGUG
rnacentral:rRNA from 1 species